rnacentral:rRNA from 1 species
UACGUAGGGGGCAAGCGUUAUCCGGAUUUACUGGGUGUAAAGGGAGCGUAGACGGUGAUGCAAGUCAGAAGUGAAAGCCCGGGGCUCAACUCCGGGACUGCUUUUGAAACUGUGUGACUGGAGUGCAGGAGAGGUAAGCGGAAUUCCUGGUGUAGCGGUGAAAUGCUUAGAUAUCAGGAGGAACAUCGGUGGCGUAAGCGCUUUACUGGGCCGUAAUUGACGCUGAGGAACGAAAGCCAGGGUAGCAAAUGGG